rnacentral:rRNA from 1 species
UACGAAGGGGGCUAGCGUUGUUCGGAUUUACUGGGCGUAAAGCGCACGUAGGCGGUUUGUUAAGUCAGGGGUGAAAUCCCGGAGCUCAACUCCGGAACUGCCCUUGAUACUGGCAAGCUAGAGUCCGGAAGAGGUGAGUGGAACUCCUAGUGUAGAGGUGGAAUUCGUAGAUAUUAGGAAGAACACCAGUGGCGAAGGCGGCUCACUGGUCCGGUACUGACGCUGAGGUGCGAAAGCGUGGGGAGCAAACAGG